GAUGAACGCUGGCGGCGUGCCUAAUACAUGCAAGUCGAACGCGCAGCGAAAGGUGCUUGCACCUUUCAAGCGAGUGGCGAACGGGUGAGUAACACGUGGAUAACCUGCCUCAAGGCUGGGGAUAACAUUUGGAAACAGAUGCUAAUACCGAAUAAAACUUAGUAUCGCAUGAUACAAAGUUGAAAGGCGCUACGGCGUCACCUAGAGAUGGGUCCGCGGUGCAUUAGUUAGUGGGUGGGGUAAAGGCCUACCAAGACAAUGAUGCAUAGCCGAGUUGAGAGACUGAUCGGCCACAUUGGGUCUGAGACACGGCCCAAACUCCUACGGGAGGCUGCAGUAGGGAAUCUUCCACAAUGGGCGAAAGCCUGAUGGAGCAACGCCGCGUGUGUGAUGAAGGCUUUAGGGUCGUAAAGCACUGUUGUAUGGGAAGAAAUGCUAGAAUAGGGAAUGAUUCUAGUUCGACGGUACCAUACCAGAAAGGGACGGCUAAAUACGUGCCAGCAGCCGCGGUAA
rnacentral:rRNA from 1 species